rnacentral:rRNA from 1 species
CCUACGGGGGGCAGCAGUGGGGAAUAUUGCGCAAUGGGCGAAAGCCUGACGCAGCGACGCCGCGUGAUGGAUGAAGGUCUUCGGAUCGUAAACCUCUGUCAGCAGGGAAGAACGGUCACUGUGCUAAUCAGCAGUGAAUUGACGGUACCUGCAAAGGAAGCACCGGCUAACUCCGUGCCAGCAGCCGCGGUAAUACGGAGGGUGCGAGCGUUAAUCGGAAUUACUGGGCGUAAAGCGCUCGUAGGCGGUAUGUCAAGUCAAGGGUGAAAUCCCCGCGCUCAACGUGGGAACUGCCUUUGAAACUGGCAAACUGGAGUGUGUGAGAGGAUAGUGGAAUUCCAGGUGUAGGAGUGAAAUCCGUAGAUAUCUGGAGGAACAUCAGUGGCGAAGGCGACUAUCUGGAACAUAACUGACGCUGAGGAGCGAAAGCGUGGGUAGCAAACAGGAUUAGAUACCCUAGUAGUC